GGUGGAGAUGCUCUUAGUCUUGAUUUGAUUUUGAUUUUUAAUUCUUUUCCCUUCUCCUCAAGUUUGAUUGCAUUGCAUUGAUGUCUCUCUUUAUCUUUAAAACAGGGCCUUGCGGUUUAAUUUGAUUAUGCUAACACUAAUUCAUUCAUCCAUUCAUGCCCUCCGUCUUCUUCCACACAAUGAAUUCCUCCACCUUUGUUGAAGUUUAUCUCUUUUCUUUUGUCAGAAGAAGCAGGGGAAGACUUCCCUAUCUUAGAGUAUCUACAAGAUAUUUAUUAUUAUUUUUCUUUUUCAAUUUUUCGAUUUAAUUAGUUUAACUCCUCCUUUGUAUGCAUCUAAGUGUGUUUUAAAGGAUUUGCUGCGUACUGUGUCGUUGGCAAACAGAUAUCUAUUGCAUUUUUACAAAGGAUGAAAGCUGACUUUAGAAAAAGAUAUGGGGUGGGUCAUUUGCUGGAGGAAAAAGCAGCGCAGUAGAGACUCAAAACAGAGAGAAGGGUGGGGAAGCAUCAGGAAUAAGGAAUAAGAAAAGAAAAGAAAAGAAAAGCACACGUUAGACUUGGAGUUCUAUUUCCACAUAACUGCUGCUAUUUCUUCGUAACUGUAGCAGUUCCAAAUGUCAACUGCAUAAUCAAAACUUCUUCGCCAAUUUUCACAAAUGAGUUCUUCAUUAUAUUUUUUAUCUUCCGUUUUUUUCUGUUCUUUAUAGUUGUUUCGAUUUCUUCUCCUAUUUUGUUCUAACUUAUGGGAGUUGGGGGUCCAGAAUUCCCCCUUUGGCAGAGCAUCAGGUAAGACUUUGGCGUUUGAGGUAUACAAGCUAUUAGCUGAAUGAAACACUUUGGCCUUUGGUUUCUUUCACUUUGUGGUUGCUGGAGGAGCCGACUCUUGGUGGAUAUGUUUCUCUUUCAGUCUCCUUGAUGUCGAACUAGACCCUUUGUGUGGGACAAAUGAAGAAGAGUUGAAGAAAGUAGACAUUGUUUAAAGGCUUUUGGCAUCGGAAGAGACUGAUCCAAAGUACUUGCGAGACAUGGUCCUCAG